AAGUACACAUGCUCAAAACAAGUGGUCAAACUGUAAACUAAUCCAGAAACGGUGAUUAAUUUGCUAUGAAACGUUAUGUAGCUUUCGUUUAUGUUAGCACCCAGUCGCCCCGACCGACGGCUGUAGUGGCCAGCUGUGCAGUGUGUUGACUUACACAGAUGAUAGUAUGACCGCUAUGAUUCACCGAUAAAGUUGUUAGUCUCGUAUUGCAUUACAAACAGUGAGUCUAGCUAGCUUUAUGACGCUUUCUGCUCUGCUAACUUCAUCAAACUGAAUUUACAAACUUUUGGGCUGUUCUAGACAACCUACAAGGCCAGAUGUUGCCUGCCAAACAGACCCAGUAGAGCAACGUUCUGUGCACACACAGUUGUCCUGGAGGACUUUCCAUCCAUUCGUCAGGAGUAAAGGUGUACAGGCUACUGUGUCCUGCAAGGACUUUCGUGGUGGCACAGACCCUGUUCUGUAUGAUGAACCCCUGCCGCUUUUCACAUCCACCCCAGCAAAGAGGCCAGCAAAGAGACCUCGCCUGGAAC